rnacentral:rRNA from 1 species
GACGAACGCUGGCGGCGUGCUUAACACAUGCAAGUCGAACGAAGUGGCGAACGGGUGAGUAACGCGUAAUCAACCUGCCCUUCAGAGGGGGACAACAGUUGGAAACGACUGCUAAUACCGCAUACUGAAGGAGGGGAUUGCGUCUGAUUAGCGAGUUGGAGGGGUAACGGCCCACCAAGGCGAAGAUCAGUAGCCAGUCUGAGAGGAUGAACGGCCACAGUGGGACGGAGACACGGCCCAGACUCCUACGGGAGGCAGCAGUGGGGGAUAUGGCACAAUGGGCGAAAACCUGAUGCAGCGACGCCGCGGGGGGGAUGAAGGCUUGCGGGUUGUAAACCUCUUUCGCUAUCGAACGGGUAGGUGGAGAAGAAGCGCCGGCUAACUACGUGCCAGCCGCCGCGGUAAUAC